rnacentral:rRNA from 1 species
CAGUAGCCGCGGUAAUACGAAGGGGGCUAGCGUUGCUUGGAAUGACUGGGCGUAAAGGGCGCGUAGGCGGUUUUGACAGUCAGAUGUGAAAUUCCUGGGCUUAACCUGGGGGCUGCAUUUGAGACGUCAAGACUAGAGUGUGAGAGAGGGUUGUGGAAUUCCCAGUGUAGAGGUGAAAUUCGUAGAUAUUGGGAAGAACACCGGUGGCGAAGGCGGCAACCUGGCUCAUCACUGACGCUGAGGCGCGAAAGCGUGGGGAGCGAACAGGAUUAGAUACCCGCGUAGUCCCUGUCUCUUAUAC